UCUCUCUGAAUCUGCGAACGGCUCCGCAAACCAGUUGUAAACCAUAGCAAGCACGCCUUGGGCCGCCGCAAGGCGGUCCUUGGCUAUAAGGAUAACCCUGGUAAUUCUGAGGCUAAUACAUGAACGUAACCCCCGGCCGACGGGCAACUGGAAGCCGGGGACCGUGCGAGUAGGCGCAACAUUUUAUCGGAGUAGUCGCACAGUACGACCACCAUCCAAACGGUAUCCGCUUCGCUGCCUCACGGCGGCUGGCGGUGUCCGGGUGGCUCUUGCAAGGUGCUUCUGACCUAUCAACUAGAUGGCAGCGUAACGGACAUGCUAUGGUGACAACGGGUACAGAGGAUAAGGGUUCGAUCCUGGAGAGUGGGCCUGAGAGAUUGCUCACACUUCUAAGGAAGGCAGCAGGCGCGCAACGUUCCCCUUGGGCAAAGCUCGAGGGCGUUAGGGGACAUAUGAAUGCCUGCCUUAUGGUGGGCAAUUCAAAUGGGUCUGUUCUAAACAGCCUCUCGA
rnacentral:rRNA from 1 species